rnacentral:rRNA from 1 species
AUUGAACGCUGGCGGCAGGCCUAACACAUGCAAGUCGAACGAGUGGCGGACGGGAGAGUAAUGUCUGGGAAACUGCCUGAUGGAGGGGGAACACUACUGGAAACGGUAGCAAAUACCGCAUACCAUCGGAUGUGCCCAGAUGGGAUUAGCUUGUAGGUGGGGUAAAGGCGCACCGAGGCGACGAUCCCUAGCUGGUCUGAGAGGAUGACCAGCCACACUGGAACUGAGACACGGUCCAGACUCCUACGUGAGGCAGCAGUGGGGAAUAUUGCACAAUGGGCGCAAGCCUGAUGCAGCCAUGUCGCGUGUAUGAAGAAGGCCUUCGGGUUGUAAAGUACUUUCAGCGGGGAGGCGUUACCCGCAGAAGAAGCACCGGCUAACUCCGUGCCAGCAGCCGCGGUAAUUC